UACGUAGGGGCGAGCGUUAUCCGGAAUUAUUGGGCGUAAAGAGCGCGCAGGUGGUUGAUUAAGUCUGAUGUGAAAGCCCACGGCUUAACCGUGGAGGGUCAUUGGAAACUGGUCGACUUGAGUGCAGAAGAGGGAAGUGGAAUUCCAUGUGUAGCGGUGAAAUGCGUAGAGAUAUGGAGGAACACCAGUGGCGAAGGCGGCUUCCUGGUCUGUAACUGACACUGAGGCGCGAAAGCGUGGGGAGCAAACAGGAUUAGAUACCCGGGUA
rnacentral:rRNA from 1 species